GGGCAAUGAGAAGGGAUUGGAGAGAGGAUGGCCUGAAGAAGUAGCGAAUGGGGGGAGGAGAAACACUCCUCUGACUCAGAACUGGUGAGCAAGAGUCAGUCAUCGGCUUGUGUUCUGGGAAAAAUGGAGGUUCUUCUUUUGAGCCUAGAGAUGAAAAGACAGCCUGGGACCAUAGGCAGAGAAAACUUGUUGAAACUAAGGAAGGCAAUGCAAUGACUUUCCCAGACAUGGGAAUCCCCAGGCAAGGCAGACACAAUCCAGCCUGCAGCAUCGUCCAGCUGGGACAGGGGUAAUAUCUUCGUGAUCUCGUCUUGGCAUUAGAUCGACGCUGACCUUUCUAGACGUCUUCACUGACCAGGAACUGUGGAAGGGGUUCUCUCGCUCCUCAUCCAUGCACAACGGCGGCAGCUGUAGCAUCAUGCUGCAGGACCUUGUGGAAAGGAACCAACGACUGCGCCUUUUUCUGUUGAAACUCGUCUCUGCAGCCUUGCUCCACAAAGCAUGGAACAGUGUCCUGGAGCAUCGCUACCAUCUGGUAGCUUAGGAAGCUCAUCAGAUGGAAGAAUCUCCAGUAUAUUCUAGACCCACUGAGUCAGUCUGCAUUCGGGAUGUAUGGGUGCCUUGUACACGUUAGAAUUUGCAAAGUGUCAUCCAAAACAUGGAUUACCUCUCAGAAUCCAAACUCAAACAUCUUCCAAGCCUCCUUCUCCAUGAGUUCUUUGCAGGAUCUGCAGGCACAGCUGUCAGCAACCCAGCGGAGGUCCCCAUUCUCAUGGAGCUUAAGAGCUGGUUGGGGGAACUAGGUGUUAGCAGAUGCCGACUCCAGAGGGUGUUCGACAGAUGCCUUCUGAGGUAGGUCCUCGAGGAGCAGAGCAGUCCUGGGUCUUCAGGGAAGUGGCUCCGAGAGUCGUGAAUCAGGCUGACCCUACAGACGGCGGCACUCAGUCAGACUACAUCCACUCCCACAGGGAGCUAAGGGAUGGUGGAGAAGGCUGUGUUUUUCAACAAAGUUUGAAGAGACAGCUUUUUAAUUUCAAAAUACAAUUGUUGCACGUUUAAAUUUUCUCAAGGGGAAGGAAAAGCUCCAUGAAGCGGUGUUUGGUAAAACAUCUUCCAUGAUCCCCUCCCCACCACCCUACCCUGGCGGCUGUGGAGUCAGAGUGAGCAUGGCUCCCUGCUUUCCAUCCACGGGGGAUGCAAGGCCAUAGACAAGUGUGUCUUCUGGCCCCAGGACUCUUGAAUAUUUUGGCACAUUUUCACUGUCUCUGGGAAACAAGCCUAAUGACACACUCAGUAGAGAUUGUCAAGCGCAUUAUAGAGACAGGAUGGAAUGCAAAGUAAAGUGUGCUUUCCCGGGCCAGCUCCUGGGAACACGACUCGAAUAAGAAAUUCCUGGUGAGAACUGGCCUUUUCCCAUCUCUCCUUUUUCUUUAGCAUUCUUUGCUCACUCUUCAACUAUUUAAGACUAGAUUAUAACAACGUUCUGGUAAAUUCAAGACAUACUUUGCAAAGAGUGCAAACAAAAUUGAACUUACUCAUCCUUCAGCAGCCAUGGGUAUCAAAUUUUUGUCUGGCAAAUCAUAAUAAUUUUAAAACAAAUUAGACAUCUUGGUUCUCCCAUUUCCUUUCUCAGACUGACAAAUCAUUAAAAAAUUCCUUUGAAUAGACUGCUUUAAAAUAUUCUUCUGAUAAGCAGGGGUCUCCUCCUGCCAGGCACCACCAGGCAAGUCACCCACCGCCGGCGCCUUGCGGGCGCCAUGGGCCACACGCAGCAAUUUCACUGUGGGCUCUCUGUCUUGGCUUGGGCCAUUACUCCGGACUUCGUUUUUGCUUAAACUUUCCAUUUCCUAUUGCCUGUGACGACAUAUCAUUAUUUACCACCUAUGAUUUCUAGUUUGUUCAAAAUUCCUGUGGAGGUGAGAGGGAGUUAAUGGGUGUAUUUAGGGACCUAACAGAAGAGCUGCUUCCUCCUGAGCCUCCGUGGGGAGCUGGGGGUCCUUGACUUUAUGCUGUAGACCAAGAUAAAGCCAUUCACACAGCCCAUGUGGCCUCAUUAAGAGCAUUUUAUCAGUUUGUGUGCCAGAUGAGGAAACGCUUCUGAUGUGACUGGAAAGUAAUAAAAUUUGACUCUUAUUCCCUAAGAUUGGGAAUAAAGAGAAAGAUAGCUGACAAAGAGAACAGUAAAGGCCAUCAGGUCUGACACAACCUAAAAAUAGAGAAAUGGUCAUUCUGAGGACCAGCUUGAAGGGCCGGAGGCACUGCUCAUGGAGGAAGCCGUGUGCCAGCUGGAAGGAUCAACCGUGAUAGAUUGUAUGAGGACCCAUGGAGGCCCUCUUAAUGGAAGAGCUAUGUGACCUCCAUCCCACUCUUAAUUGUAGCACGUUCUUGGCUAUUGACAGCAUCACAGCUUAAGUGUGGGAGGCUGGCUCGAAAGGCCAGUCUGGCCCAUGCAGGGUCUGCUGGAUUCGUCUCUGAGUUUGGAUGCUGGAGCCUUGCCCUGGUCCUCGGUGUCAUGGCGACUGCUCGGCGUUCACCCUGAAUGCUGACCCUAUUGGAAGGUCUCCCCUACUUGCUGAAAGCUGAAGGAGCCCAGUCCACACAGAUCUUCAGAUCCGCCGUAACAUCCUUAUAAGAACAUACCCUUAAAUCCCAUGUUGAAAUCAUUCCUAGAUUUCAUUUUUGGGUGUGGAAUAUUGAUAAUUGAUUUACUCAUUUCAGAAAGGGACCGACUCCCUCAAUCCUGGCAGCCUGUGGCUUUUCACCCAUGCUCACAUGGGAUCCCCCUCAUGUGGGUGACUUCAUCGCUGUUAUCAUCACAAUACCCAGUUAGUAUUAUCUGUGCCCAGCACUGUACCAACCACAUCACCCCAGACUUCAUUUUCUCUUCACAGCUCCUCUCCGGCGUUGGUCCACUGAGUUUCACUAAAUCAUGGAUGAGGAACUAAGGUACAGAGUGGUUAGUUAACUUGCCCGAGACGUCGCAUUUAGUCUGUGCUGGAUCCUAAACCUGAGCUCCCGUUUAAGGAGCAGUGCCAUGCAGCUCAGGGACUUCUGCCUCUGGCUCUCCUGGAAGUCUGCGCUCAGCUCUUACUCAAAUGUGGGAUCUGAGAAAGUUCCCCCACUUCUCUGAGCUUCAGUUCCAUCAUCAAGGAAGGCGGAACGAUGAUAGAACCGGAAAAAAUCUACGUGAAGUCAUUGACACAGAACCUGGCACAUGGGAUGCACUCAGUGGAUAUUCUCCACCAUUCUGCUCUGCUCUGCUGUCUAUAAAAUGCUUUUGUGACCUAUGUCUAUACUAGGUAGCAGAUAGAUAGCGAUGAAAGAUAGAUAAUAAAUAGACAGAUAGAUAGAUAGGUAAUUUUACCCUCCCCUCCUUAGCCAGACUGGAAUCAUAAGGGCCAAGGAAUAUUACCUUUGUUUAUAUUCCCACACAUGAUUUCUGUACUUACUUCUCAGGAAAUGGGUAAUGGGUAAAUGUAUUUUUAUCUUCUUACUGAUUACUAUCUCAACUAUCUCAGGCUGGUUAUGAAAUACUUUCUACAUUAAGGAGGGCCUCGCUGCAGGACUGCAGGCCUACUGUGAGGUGCUGGAUUUGCCCCAAAGAGGACUGCAUUAGUCAGGUUCUCCAGAGAAACAGAACCAACGGGAUGUAUAUGGACAUAUAUAAGAGGUGAUUUAUUAUAGGAGUUGGUUCACGUGGUUAUGAAGGCUGAGAAUUCCAUGAUAUGGGGCCUGCAAGCUGGAGGCCCAGGAAAGCUGGUGGUAUAACUCAGUCAGAGUCCUAAGGCCCAAGAACCAGGACCACUGAUGUCUGAGGGCAGGAGAAGAUGGACAUCCAAGCUCAAGAAGAGAAGGAGAGGAAUUUGCCCUUCCUUCACCUUUUUUGUCCUACUGGGGCCCUCAAAGGAUUGGAUGAGGCCCACCUGCAUUGGUGAGGACGAUCUUCUUUACUCGGUCAUCUGAUUUAAAUGUUUCCAUCCAGAAACACCCCCACAGCACACCCGGAAAUCAUGUUUAAGCAGCUGGCUGGGUGUUCCUCAAUCCAGUCAAGUUUACACAUAGAAUUGCCUUCACAAGUACUUAGUAGAGCGUGGCUGAUCAUGACUCCCUUGGAGAGCCACCUGUUUCUGGUGGUCAUUAACACACAGUAAUCAGGUCAUCUGUGCAGUCUGAACCUUUACCCUUCAAACGGCCUCAACUGGGAUUUCCUGGGUCUUCUUUAAGGAUGAAGGAGGGGAGCCCACCUUGACCAACCCGCAUUGCAUCAGAGCAACGUGAACGCCAGCACCAAUGAGCCAGCCUCCAACCUGUCAAGACUUUUCGAGAUUUUAAGUUGAGGACACAGAAAUAAAGCACGAGAAUAUACAAUAAGGGUAUUUUUUUUUUUAAAGAAAAGGGUUUAUAUCUGAAGACACAAGUAAAAUGCUACACUUUGACUCUUCAACCACUUAAAUUUUAAAUAUACAAGGAAAAUUGGCAUCGUUUUAGAUCCAAUUUAUUCUCCGUGAACUUUGAGCACAUCACACAGUGAAACUAUCCCCUGGGCCUGCACUGAGUCAAUCUCCUCCUUUUAAGUAUUGAGCUAAGAAAGCAUGAGAACCCAAAAGAACCCUUUCAGAAUCAACCAACAGUAGAAGGGGCUUUGGUAAGAAAAAGUGAGCCAAAAAUGAAUAAAGUUGAAUGUAAUACCCACUAAUGAGCCAAAGGCCUUAAGUCUACAUGAAGGCAAAGUAGAAGGACACUGACAGGAGUACACCAGCGUUGGCCUGGCCAUUGGGGACAUUUUUAUUAAUAGAUCAGAGAAGACUUUAAUUUGCACCAACUGACACACUAUGAAAUGAGUAUUGGAUGAGGUAUCUCUAAUUCCGUAAGAGAACACAAUUUUUAGGAUCCUUUUAAGUUAACGUAUUUGCAUCGACAAUCAUACCUCUUUGUGAACGUGUAACACCGAAAAGAAAAAAUAAUUUAGAAUUCUUACUUCCAAAAUUUGAACAUGAUUAAUUUUUAUUAAUAUAGGGGCUUAUAAAGUAAGGAAUAGAUUUCUAUUAUUUUUAAAAACAAGCAAGAUUUAAGCUGAGAUCCUGUCAUGAGUUAAAAACGCAAUAGGACGUUGGAAAGGCAGACCCCGUUUCUCUAGCCGGAUGCCCACUUAUGUUUCGAGGGGCAGCACCCAUGGCUGGCGUCACAUGGCUUCUUGCAAGCGUCAGCCUGUUCUGAUGCAUCUGAAGACGCACCUUUUCCUUUAUAACCACUGAGUUGUUUGUUAACAUUUAUCCAUGUCUCAUAGGUGUGCAGGCCACCGAGCCAGGCCCAGGGUCAGUUCUCUGCUUUUUAUUUAAAGACAGAUAUGAGAAAUGAAUAGAAGAGUUUUAGAAAAUGCAAUGCUAUGCCUUUUCUCAAACAACCUGAAAUCUUGACGAGUCACAUUUUAUAAAAAAUAAGAAAGCAACCCUAAACCACAAAUCUCAUGAAUUUAUAGCAAAUGCUCUUCUAAACUCCGUAAUUGGAAAAUAGAGCAGUUAUUUCUACUGAGUAACUUUCAAAAAGCAUCAGUAGGAAGAUCACUAAUAUGUCAUUUAAGUGGAAGAAUAAACAGUGUUUUGUUUCUCACAGCCCCCUGGUCAUCAUUCAGUGGGCUUCCCAGUAGCUCCUUCUAGCUGUGAGGUCAGUUUGCCCUUGGCCCCCACAUCUUCCUCUGAUGGUAAUGCCCCUUCCCUCUGACACAUCGGUGUCUGAGUCGAGUUGUAGGUAGAGGGGUUUCUAAGAAGGGUUGUAACAGGAUCUAACACAGGGUCCCCUGAGAUGGGAGGAGAGAAUGGAGAUUCCUCUCCUAGCACUGUAUGUGGCUCAGAGCACUCAAUAACUGUCAGCACUGGUCCAGUCCCACAGCUGUUAGAUGGGGACACAGGCUCCGAGAGGCCCUGGUUUGGCCAGGGUCACACGUGCCCACUGCUGCCUCCCCUGCUUGGGCAGCUGUCAUGUGGUGGAAGGAACCACACAGCCUGUGGCCACUGAGCCACUUUAUUCUUCCAUUUGUCUCUGCGACUCACGAUAGCACACCACGAAAGAUCAAAGAAAAUAAGUUAAAUAAAAAUACAGCCCAUGGAUUCCUUUCUGGAGAACGUUAUGUGUAUUCUUCCUGUGCCUUCAGAGACUCCUGUUUGCCAUGUUAAUCUUUCCCCACUUUUCUUAGAAAAAUAUGGUGCAGGUGCCCGUGCAGAUGGAAGCUGCCUGGAGCAGGUGAGCUGCAUGUUUGAGAAUCAGCCCCUCCCAGGUAGGAGCCCUGGCACUCCUCAGGACAGACACUUAGGCUCCAGGACCUCAAGGUUGGGGGAAAGACCAAAUCUAAACAUUGCUGGUGCUACAACUACCACCACCCACCCCUCCCAGAGAGACCAGGCUUGAGUCCUUCUGGGUCAGCACGCCCCCUGGCUGUGGGGUUUUGUUCUGGAUCCUGUGGAUCGGUUCAUAGCAUGGCCCUUUGCCGGCCGUGUCCUCUUCAUGUGGUCAGCCAGUGGGGACACGCACCCUCCUGGUGGCCUGCCUGGGGCUCUGAGAAUCUUGGAUCACCUUCAAAAUGCACUCAAAUCAUUUUUGGCUCCUUCCUGUGUUCAGUCAACACAAAUAAGCCUUGGAAGGCCCAGCACGGUGUGCCCAGCUGUGCAUCAGAGGAAAGUUGAUAAAUAAAUACGAUGCCACCACCGGAGAAAAUGUCCAAAUUGGUCAGAAAGACCAAGAAAUAGGAAAGUGUGAUAAAUUCUGUUUGUGAGUGUACAAAGUAAAAGGCACAGCUCAGGAGGAAGCAGCUCCUCAUAAAGUGACAGCUGUGAGGAUGUUGAAACUGUGAGGAGAAGAGGCUCAGGAGGGUGGGACUGUGGGCUCCUGCGGGACUGUGGGAAGGGGGGUUCUGUGGAGGGCUGGGAACACAAGGGAUGUGCAUGGCUGAAGGAUGGUCCGUGGCGGCCACACAGAAUCGGACACAAUUGCAUUUGCCCUGGUUCUACUGGUUAAUGGCUGUAUGACUCAAGGAAAUAAUAUGACCCCUCUGGGCCUCCGUGUCUUCAUCUAUGACUGGAAAUACAAAUGCCUACUUGCAGUUGGAUGUAAGGACUCAAAUGGGAAGCACUUGGCACAGCAGUCAUGGCGGCAGACAGUGUCAUUCGAUGAGUGGUAGCGAUAGCUGUCAUUGCUUCACCAACAAACCUGCAUGUGUUUACUUCUGUUGAAUGUAUUCAUGGUUCCAGGUGCUCAGAAUUUAUCAGUUAAAAUAUCCAUAAAGAUCCUGGGUAGAAUUCCCUGUACAGUUUACAUUCUACAAGCAGAAACAGCCAAAGAGAAUAAACAUAAGUAAGCAAACUGCACGGUAUGUUAUUAGGUGGUGAGUGCCUUGGAGAAUCCUUUCUGGGGGGAGGAGGAGAGAGAGUGCGUGAGGAGGUGCUGGAGAGAGUAAAUGCACCAUCAGGGGAUGCCUUCCUGGGAAGGGGAUGUGAGGAUGUGAGAGGCAGCCAUGCGCACAUCUGGAGGAAGAGAGCUGAGACAGAGGAGAAGGGAGUGAUCGAGUACGGUAAAUGCUGCUUGUAGAUCAAGAAAGAUUAAGUCUGAAACUAAUCAUUGGGUUUAGCUAGGUCACGGCAUUGGCAGCAGUGAGAGGAGCAGGUUCAGUGGGGUGGUGAGGCUGGAAGUCUGGACUGGGGUAAGAGAGGAUUGAGGAGAGAAACUCGUGAUGGCAAGAGGACAUAGCAGUUCCAGGAGAUUCACUGCAAAGGGGAGGUGAGAAAUGGGAAGGUAGCUGGCAAGAAAGUGUGGUCCAAAGGAAUGUUCUGUUCUGUUUUGUUUUGAUUGUGUCUUAAAAUGGGACAGAUAACAGCAUGUGUGCUUGCUGAUGGGAAAAAUCCAGCAGAAAAACAAUGAUGCAGGGAAAAAAAGCAGAGAUUUAUUGGAGGAACACUGUUGAGAGGGCAAGAUGAAAUAGGGUCUCAUGCACAAGGAAAGGGAUCUGCUUUUGAUCAGGACAAGGACACUUCAUCAUGGUUAUCAGGGAGGAAGGAAGGAUUCAGGGGUACAGAUGCUGUGAGAUAAGUGGAUAUGACAGUGGGAGCAGGUGGGGGCUUUCUCCAGAUUUCUUCAAGUUUCUCAGAGAACAGGAGAGUGGCGCUGGCAGCUGAGAGCGAGGAUGAGGUCAGAACGGCUGUAGACUGAGGAGAGAGGAGAAAGCACAAAGUAGUAACCUAGGAAAUUGGGAGGGUGAAUGGACAAGGGAGAUGGAGUCUGGCCAAUGGGUGGCGCUGAGCUCCCUGCUGGGGUUGGCGUUUAUGCUCCAGGGUUUUGAGAGCUUUUCACCAGCUGUGGUCAGUCGCAUAAUUGCAGACAUGGAGUUGGAAGAGAGAGUGGUUUAAUCAGAGUCCUGAUUUAACCAAGCAAGUCAACAAAGCAAGAGAGAUCCAAAAGCGUUGAGAUUGCAGGAAAGGCGGUGUUUCACGGAAAUUAAAUAGGGUAAGAUUGGGAGACUGGACAUCAGGAGGAUGGGUGACUGACCCCAAAGUGGUGAUAAGGGUCAACAGACCAGAGGUCUCAGUAAGACCAAAGGAGUGUUGGCACACCUGACCAGAGGGAAUGAGCUGGAAAUAUGGGGGACGGGUUGAUGACUGGGGCACAGAAACUGAGAUUGUGAGGGGGCUGUAGCUGUUGACAAUGACAAAGAUGUGACCAUGCAACAUAGUGCUGAGGCAGCUGGAGGACAAGACGCUGAGUCCAAGAAAUUGAAAGCCAGGGUAUUAUAAAGAGGAUGCACGCGGUUAGUGAAACUGCCAAGAAAUUUUACGAGUCAGUAUUGGGUGGUCACAUGGGUUGUUAUUCUUUCUAGCUUAUUGCUUUAGCAGAUGUGAAAGUCCCCUCCCUCACAGUGUGUCCCGUGGGGUCACAGAGAGGAAGGUGGGGGAGUCCCAGAAAUCAACAUCUUUUGUGGACUGAAUUGUAUCUUCCCCAAAUCCAUAUGUUGAAGCCCUAACUCCCAUUGCUACUCUAUUUGGAGAUGGGGCCUUUAAGGAGGUAAUUAAGGUCAAGCGAGAUCAUGAAGGUGGAGCCCUGAUUCAAUAGGGCUGGUGCCCCUAUAAGACGAGGAAGCACUCUCUCUCUCUUUCCACACACGCACUGAGCACAUGGAGAAAAGGUGGCCGUCUGCAAGCCAGGAAGAGAGGCCUCACCAGAAACCAACACCACUGGCAUCUUGAUCUUGAACUUCCAGCCUCCAGAACUAUGAGAACAAAUGUCCCUGGCUGUGGUGUUUCCUUACGGCAGCCCGAGCCAAGUCAGCAUCUCUCUUUGAUCCCUGACUUCAGGUCACUGACUUGGGUUCUCUCUUCAGUUUGGAUGAUUAACUACUCCGAACCUGUAAUUCAGACCACAGGCUUCAGAAGACCUUGGCUCUGGAGAGAGGGAAAUACUCACCAAAACAACCAAACAACCAUGCUCCAGCUCUCCAGGUGCGGCCAGACCACCCUGAUGGUGUGAAGCAUCUUUCGACUCUCUGGCUAUUGAAUCAGGAAGAGUUGUGAACGAGUGCCACUCUGAGGUCGUACAGUGUGGACACCACAUGCUGCAGCUUCCGUCUGAAGCUGAGCUGGACUCGGAUCCCGGCUCCUCUCCUUCCUAUCUUGUGACUUCUGAGAACACGGCUUUUCUUUCUCAAUUUUAAGAUCCUGGAAGUGGGAGCACCUGUCUCGUUAACCUCAUAUGAAGAUGAAAUGAGAUGGUAGGGGGGUAACUUCUUGUCACACACAGGGCCUGGAAUAUUGCAAACCCUUUGUUUCAUUGGGAUACAGGCUUGGCUGGUGUGACAAGGGCACCAAAAAUGCAGAUUCCCAAGCAAAAUAGAUGGCUAGUUGUCUCCCACAUCAUUAUCCCCAGGAAGACAGCUGGUCCCCCAGUGGGUGGGCAGUUCUGCUUUACCAGGUCAUCAGGGUACCAAGUUUGUGUUCUGACAUUCUUCAGCAUGCGAUUCUCAAAGCUGCUCGUCAGCAUCAUGCCCAAAUUCCAGUCCACAGGAAGAGGAGGCGAAUUGAGCACAGACACAGAGGACCAGCACGUUGCUUUUACAUGUGUAGACAUGACACACACUUCUGCUCAAAUCGCAUCUGGAAGAAAUUAACCAACGGUCCCACUUAGCUGCCAGGAGGCUAUGACGGUGGUGGUCACAUCUCUGCUAAAUUCAGGUAGGAGGCAGAGGGGGAGGGUCCCAUGACUACAAGGAAGGAGGGAUAUCCCAAGACAGUUAUUCAUCUUGUUAUGGAUAUUUAGAAAUGUUGCACACCUGUAUUUCUUACUUUUCUCAUUACAAGGUGAUUCAUGGGAGAUGUCCAAGAACACAAGUACAUUUUUCUCAAAACACAGUUCUUUUCUUGGAGAAUGACUCAGACACUUCCUCCCAGGGACACGAUGCUGUGGCUGGUGCUCUGUUCUUGUUGUGAUCUUAGGAAAGUCUACAGAAAAGGUGCAGCCGAGAGACUGCUCCUUUGUAACACGCAGUAGCAGAAAGUAUACCAAAGGAAAGGACAUCAUCAACACCCACGACCAUAUCUUGUCUUUGCGUUACGGAUUCUGGGAGCUUUUGUGGACUUCUGGAAAAACGAUCACUAUUGCUGGAUUCUUUUUUUCAAUGGAAAAUAAUUAACGUUAAUUGCUAAACAACUUCCCGACAUUGGUAGCAUGAUUCAGCUCUGAAUUUCCAGGAGCCAUUAUGAGAAUUGGGUAGACUCUUCUCUUUGAAAACUUGCGUUAGUUGUGGAUUCCUUGCUUCAGACAGAAUGAACCUUGUCUAAUGGUGCUGAGUCUCCAACCACUGCACGUUUUCAAACGUUGACUAAUUACCGAGGGUGUAAACAGUUUUAAUGACCCGUUGGCCAAGGUGACCUCUGAACUUCGGUAGUUCAGGGAUGUCUGUGUCUCCUAAGGUAUAGUCUGAAAACUCUUGCAAGCCUGCUAGGAACAAAGACUUCCCAACAGCAUCCUGGCUUAUGAGUAUAAAUCCUCAGCACUCUCCACAGGAGUGUGACAUUACUGAAUAAUCUGUCACCUUCAAACCAGCCACAAAGAAAGUUCCAGGCUGUCCUUUAGAAAGAGGGUCAGCAGAACAAUUGCUUUGGGUUAACUUUGGGUUUGGAGUGUUGCAAACCAUCCAUUAUCUGUUAGACUGUGAUUUUAAUUGUCCAUCAUCUGUGUUUGAGUUUGUAUAGCUUCACACUGUCAAAGCUGAUGGCUGUGUUUUUCCUCUUUCUUUUUGGAGGUCCCAAGAGAGUCAGUGGGGAGCGUGGCUGUCUGAGCCCACAUCCCCCAGCGGAUGCUGCUCUCUGCUCUCGGCUGCCUGGUCUCCAGCGGCUGCCACGUUGCUAGAACUUCUGGCAGCAGGAGGUUGAAACCCACGUCUGCUGGCGCCAGUCCCAGAGCUACAGGAAGUCUCCAAAUGUUUUUUUUUUUUCUUAACAGACAAAAAAAUUUUUGACUCGGGAAUGAUUUCCAGGAAUUACAGUAUGAGAUCUUAGUCUGUGAGAUUUUAAUUUUCUUCUUAAGAAAAUCAAAAUGAAAUCAACCAGACUGAACACACCACGGGCGGGCACAUUUCACUUUGUAACGAACAGUGAACGUUUUCCCCUUCACCUCCCUCGGAGCGGGAGGAUGAGUUUAAUAGCUUUUCCUCAGCGGAGAGCGAGAGGAGGGAGGUAACGCUGGAUCAGAGGGGCAGGGAGGCCCUGGGAAAGGCCAUUUCUCUGCUUUCUUCUCAGAGCUCUGUCGCUGCCAGAAGGUUCUGAGCAUUGCCCCUCCUCUUCUCUCUCGAGAUCAUGGUCCUCCCUCAGGACGAGCGGGAAAGGCUCAGCAAGCCAUUCAGUCCUCAGGGAAAGUUCCGUGCUGCCUUGAUCAGGAAGGAGAUGGGGAUGGGGCUGUCCAGGUGGUGUCAGGCUCAGAGGAGGCAGGGCCUUUGGUACGUGUCACACCCACGAGGAAUCUGAGAAACCCACACGGUCGCCUGUCACGUUUCCGUCUCUGACUGACCCUGUGUGCAUUCAGAGUCGGUUAAAGGAGCUCGGUCCAUCUGGUCAUCAAUGAUGACGUGGUCUCUGACUGUGACUUCAGACAGGUGCUGUGCCCUCUGAGGACAUCCCUAUCAGGCCCGUGGGGUGAAUACACUGGCCUCACUGCUUUGACACGAAUCUGUGAACACGUGAGACCCAAGAUUAGCCCUGAGCUAACUGCUGCCAAUCCUCCUCUUUUUGCUGAGGAAGGCUGGCCCUGAGCCAACAUCCGUGCCCAUCUUCCUCCACCCUACAUGUGGGAUGCCCACCACAGCAUGGAUGGUGUGCCAAGCGGUGCCAUGUCCUCACCAGGGAUCCGAACCGGUGAACCCCAGGCCGUGAUAAGCGGAACACGUGCACUCAACCACUGCACCACCAGGCUGGCCCCUAUUAACACGUUUUUAAUUGGAGGAAAAGCCAUGGAAGGUUAGCUUGGGGAUGGUCUCAGUGAUAACAAUGCUGAGUUGUUGACCCAGUAUCAUGGCCUCGGGUUGCCUGUCCCCAUCUGCUUCCUUGGAGGCCAGAGCUUCAGCUCCUCUGUCUGCAUCUUAAGUAAAGCUGCUCCCCUCCCCUUGCCUUCAUGUUCUCCAGCCCCAGCUGGUCCUGCUGGCUCUCACCCUCACUCUCUGGAGCCUCGAGGUCUAAGCUGCAUGGCAGAUAUGAUCACGGAAGCGGAAGCUGGUUUUGAGAGAAAUGAUAGAAAGGCUGGCACAUUGCUACUGAUUGUCUGGAGGCCAUGGAGAGAAAAAAAGGUGAAAGAUGUAACAUAACCUUGAACUUGAGAACUUGGAGGGGUGGGAGGCUGUGUCCCACUGAACAGGUCUUGGAAACAGAAGGUCUUUUCGUGCAGGAAGAAUAAAAAGCUGUUGACUACUGAGAAGCCACCUUGGCAGCAGCCACAGAUGCAGAGCAGAGCCAAGUGACAUGCAGUCGAUGUAUAAAAGAAUUCGUGGACGUUUUAUGUAAGACUAUCCCAUUUCCGCUGAUGAUAGAGGCACGCAAAGAGGCAGCUUACGUUGAAGACUUCAUUUUAGAAUCCCUUGGCCAUCUUUUCUCCAAAUCUGAAAUCCCUUUCCUUUCUGGAGCAUACCCAAGGAGAAACUCCUAAUGAAUCGUAUCAUGUGCUGUUCUGACUCCUCGCCACGAAACACAAAGAUCUCUUGUAGCCACGUGUACAGAUGGUGGUUAAUUCAGGAAAUGAAGAAAGACAGCUUGCUCCUGCUACGGUGAAUAAUGUCUUUGUUAUUUCAUUUCUGAAGGAGGCAGAUUAUUCCAUUGUGUUUUGAUGAAAUAGAUGAUCUUUCCACUUUUAUGAGAAUGAAAUAAACAAUUCUGGGGCUUAAAAAGUCUCCUGUUUAUAUAUCAGUUUCUGCCGAAGACUUUGAAGAAGUGGAUUGCGGGGUGUGGUAUGUCUCUCCCUGCCCUCUGCAAACACAGGGCCUGCGUUUUUCCUGGGGUGAAGAGCCCCAUGGCUUCACUCUGGGGUCCAAUUCAGAAUGCAGGCUUUAACUCUUCAGAGCAACGAUCUCCUGUGUGUGUAGAAGGCUUCCAGGACUUGUAAACAUCUUUCUGCGUCAGCACCAGGGCUGUGGGCACAUGUGAAACUGUGGUUGAUCCUGCCUGUGGAUUGCAGAUACCAGAACAAAAUAGAAUAUUCUGUCUCUUAUGGAGAAUCCGCUGUUCACAUUUUUGUUUAGAAACCAAGUUUUGGUUUGGUUCAGUGAUUCUAAAGCAUUUCAGAGACAACAACUGCCAUGAAGUAUGAGCUUGUGAUCCUUACUCCUUCUGAUGUAGCUUAAGGUUUCUCCCCUUCUUUAUGGACUAUGAUUUUGCGUAUCAUUUUAAAAUGGGAUAAGCAUAACAUUUAGGAUUAAAUUGCUGAUUAUUUACAUACGUGGCUUAGUGAGAGUAUCUGAGAUGGGGCUUGUUUAGCAUGAAUUGUCUCAGUUCAUGAUUCCACCUAUGAUUGUGUAGUGCAUUUAUUCAUUUACUAACAAAUCCUGUACCACUUUCACUUUUAAGUUAAUUAACAUAUAUUUAUUCUAGGAAAUGGGGAUAUAGCAGUGACCCAACCAGGCAGAAUCUCGUUACUGUAGAGUUUACUUUCUAGUGGGGAGAUACAUGAUAAAAACAUAUGUAACAUGAUAUCAGGUGCUACCAUAGAGAAAGAGAAAAUCUGGAGGUGGGGCAGAGAGAACAGACAAGGACAUGUUGCUUCAGGAGAAAGCCUGGUCCAUGGGGACCUGAGCCACAGGAGGAAGGGAGCCAGCCACCUGCAUGGGUGCAAACCCCUGGGUGUAGGCCCUGAAGGUGGAUGAAUUAGAUGCAGAAACUUAAACCGUGUCCUAUCAUUUUACUUUAUUUUUUUGAGGAAGAUUAGCCCUGAGCUAACAUUUGUGCCCGUCUUCCUCUAUUUUACAUGUGGGACACCUGCCACAGCUUGGCUUGCUAAGUGCUGCAGAGGUCCACGCCCAGGAUCCGAACCAGCGAACCCCGUGCCACCAAAACGGAGCAUACUAAGUUAACCUCUAUUUGACUGGGCCAGCCCCUAAACCAUGUCUUAUUAUUAACUUUGUGCUUUGCAUAAGCAAUCCUGAUGUGUUAUCAUAAGAUUUAUUGAUUUAUUUUUAAAGACUGGCCCUGAGCUAACAUCUGUUGCCAAUCUUUGUUGUUUUUCUUUCCUCUUCUCCCCAAAGCCCCCCAGUAUAUAGCUGUAUAUUCUAGUUGUGGGUCCUUGUGGUUGUGUUAUGGGGGACGCCACCUCAGCAUGGCUUGAUGAGCGAUGCCAUGCUUGUGCCCAGAAACCGAACCGGCAAACCCUUGGGCCACCGAAGUGGAGCAUGUGAAUGUAACCACUCAGCCAUGGGGCCAGACUCCAUCAUAAGAUUUAAACUCUAUUUCCUAUAAAACACAAAGAAAAUAAGUUCUAAACUGACAUUUUAAUAAAAACCAACUCCAGAAGGUAACCCGCUCUUCCUUCCUGAAUAUAUUGCCAUGACUCUCCUGCAAGAUGAAUUCUCCACUUUUAAAUCUAACACAAAAUGGAGAAUAGAACUGGGGAUAAAUUCCUGUUUGCCAAUAAAUGAAAAAUUCAUAAUUUUGUUUAGAAAAAUCUGCAUUAUGAAAUUCCGGUGUGCAAUCCAGUAACCAUGAUCCCCAGCCCCAGUGUGAGAUCAGCGGGUAGAGACGGAAAGCAUGCAGAGGGCCCUGUGACUCCCUGUGCGAGAGUGCAGCAGGACCUGACCAGGUGGGAAGCGUUUUCCAGAUCGCUGUGACCUGGUCUGCCUGGUGGAGAGCAAACGCUAGAAGAAAUAUUUACAGAGAUACAGGGAGAGACUAUACGUGACUUACCCCAGUGAAGUAGUUACUUCCACUUGGUUGGGAUUUAGAAUCAUUUGUGGGGAGAGCAUGCUGUAAAAGACAACACAUAAAGAGUUUUAGGAGAAGAUGUCCAUUUCUUUCAAGAUGUUUUGAUUCUUUGUAACAUAGAGGCUGUCUAGGAUAUCGUCUUAAUUUCCUCUUUCAUCUUUAGAAUUAAAAUACCUUAAAGAGAAUAGUGACAGCUGAUAGACCCAGCUGCAUGACUCUUAAUGGUUAGUCUCUGCCUUAUUUUCCUAUUCUUUCCACAGCUGGUCCCAGUAGCUUUAUAAACCUCUUAGCUCUCUCCUUAAAGUGUAAUAGUAAAAGCGAUGUUUGUCAAUUGAAAUGUGUUUCUUCUGAUCAGCUAAUUCAAUUCAACUUCUUCAAAAUGUGAAUUUAAUAAAAUGUAAAGUAUCUAUUACAAA
ensembl:lncRNA